ACCAGGUCACACGUGCAGAGGUAAAAAUGGCAAUGCUAUGUGCCAAAAACAACAUUCCUUUCUCCUUCCACGACGACUUCAACAAGUGUGUAGCUGACAUGUUCCCGGACUCUGCUAUUGCACGAAAAUACUCAACGGGAAAAACUAAGGCUACUCAAAUCAUCAAAGGUAAGUUAGCUAGCCAUAUAGCUACCUAUCUUACUGCUGGGCUACUGUACGUUUGCUAAAACGGUAUAAAAUGGGUUUGAAAUGUGUUUGAAUAUUCUAACAUUUGAGCAUUAACCCAUGGCAUGCUUUUUGUAGGCUAACUUACUAGCUAAUUACUGGACACUCAACAGGUGCCAUAUCAGCAGAACUAGAGGACGAGUUGGCCAAAACAUGCCGAUCUCAGCCCUUUUCACUGAUGUGCGACGAAUCGAACAACAGAAAAACAGACAAAGAAUUUGUCAUCCUGACUAGACUCUACGAUGAGGCCACUCUGCAGGUCGCUAAAAGCUGUACCACCUGGUACAGCUGGCCACUGGCUGUGGCAUCAGAGCAGCCCAGGUACCAUUGGAAGACAUCCUGGUGGGGAUAUACACCCACUUUGAUAAAAGUGCAAAAAGAUGUGAAGUCUACAAAGAGUUUGUAGACUUCACUGAUUCAGACCACCUGAAGCUCCUCAGGUACUGCAGCACCAGAUGGCUGAGUCUGUUAACCUGCAUCCAGAGGGUGCUGAACCAGUGGGAUGCACUACAGGUCUACUUUAACAGUCAUGAAGAGGUGGAGAGGAGUGUUAAAGUGCGUGAUCUGGCAAGCCAUCUGAUCCAAUCGUGAAGACCUACUUCCUGUUCCUGAGUGCUGCCCAUAAGCCUUUAUCUGAAUUUAA